AACGAACGCUGGCGGCAGGCUUAACACAUGCAAGUCGAACGCAUCCUUCGGGGUGAGUGGCAGACGGGUGAGUAACGCGUGGGAACGUGCCCUUCAGUUCGGGAUAACCCAGGGAAACUUGGGCUAAUACCGGAUACGUGCGAGAGCAGAAAGAUUUAUCGCUGAAGGAUCGGCCCGCGUCUGAUUAGUUAGUUGGUGGGGUAAUGGCCCACCAAGGCGACGAUCAGUAGCUGGUCUGAGAGGAUGAUCAGCCACAUUGGGACUGAGACACGGCCCAAACUCCUACGGGAGGCAGCAGUGGGGAAUAUUGGACAAUGGGCGCAAGCCUGAUCCAGCCAUGCCGCGUGAGUGAUGAAGGCCUUAGGGUUGUAAGGCUCUUUCGUCCGGGACGAUAAUGACGGUACCGGAAGAAGAAGCCCCGGCUAACUUCGUGCCAGCCGCCGCGGUAA
rnacentral:rRNA from 1 species